AAACAAUUGCAUAUAUACUGGAGUCUCCGUUUUGUCAAGAAACACGGAUAAGAUUCUGGAAUAAUAAAGACAUUUUGUAUUUCAAGAAGCCCAGCAGGAGUCAUCUGGUCUGGAUCGGCACAAAAAUGGAGGGAGCUGCUUCUGAAAUGACCCCCCCUGUGGAGUGUAAAACAAAGAGACCUGAGAGUGUCCUGAUGGAGAGAGCAGGCUCACCUGUACCCAGCUGUGUUUCCAUGAAGAGUGACUGGUCAAUGGACCCCAAAAUCUACUUCAGAGAGAAACCUUUUCCUACA